AAUUUCUCUUCUUUUUCUUUUCCUGUUUCUUCCUCCACCGCUUAAUCUCUUUCUUUGUCAAACCAGGCGGAGGCUCAUCCUCGCCUGCCGAAGCAAUCUGAGGAGGAGUCAAUAAUUUAAUC
rnacentral:ribozyme from 13 species